rnacentral:rRNA from 1 species
UACGGAGAGAGCUAGCGUUAUUCGGAAUUACUGGGCGUAAAGCGCACGUAGGCGGCUUUGUAAGUUAGAGGUGAAAGCCUGGAGCUCAACUCCAGAACUGCCUUUAAGACUGCAUCGCUUGAAUCCAGGAGAGGUGAGUGGAAUUCCCCGUGGAGCGGUGAAAUGCGUAGAGAUGGGGGAAGAACACCGGUGGCGAAAGCGCUCUACUGGGCCAAGGCUGACACUGAGGGAUGAAAGCUGGGGGAGCAAAUAGG